rnacentral:rRNA from 1 species
CCUACGGGAGGCAGCAGUAGGGAAUAUUGCUCAAUGGGGGAAACCCUGAAGCAGCAACGCCGCGUGGAGGAUGAAGGUUCUCCGAUUUUUAACUCCCUUUGAUAGGGAAGAUAAUGACGGUAUCUGACCAAUAAGCACCGGCUAACUCCGUGCCAGCAGCCGCAGUAACACGGAGGGUGCAAGCGUUACUCGGAUUCACUGGGCGUAAAGAGCGCGUAGGCGGGAUAGCAAGUCAGGUGUGAAAGCCGAGGGCUUAACCUGAGAACUGCAGUUGAAACUGUUAUUCUAGAGUAAGGGAGGGGUAGGUGGAAUUCUUGGUGUAGGAGUGAAAUGCGUAGAGAUCAAGAGGAACACUCAUGGCGAAGGCGACUUGCUAGAACAUAACUGACGCUGAUGCGCGAAAGCGUGGGGAGCGAACAGGAUUAGAUACCCGAGUAGUC